rnacentral:rRNA from 1 species
CCUACGGGUGGCUGCAGUGGGGAAUAUUGCACAAUGGGCGCAAGCCUGAUGCAGCCAUGCCGCGUGUGUGAAGAAGGCCUUCGGGUUGUAAAGCACUUUCAGCGGGGAGGAAGGCGGUGAGGUUAAUAACCUCAUCGAUUGACGUUACCCGCAGAAGAAGCACCGGCUAACUCCGUGCCAGCAGCCGCGGUAAUACGGAGGGUGCAAGCGUUAAUCGGAAUUACUGGGCGUAAAGCGCACGCAGGCGGUCUGUCAAGUCGGAUGUGAAAUCCCCGGGCUCAACCUGGGAACUGCAUUCGAAACUGGCAGGCUAGAGUCUUGUAGAGGGGGGUAGAAUUCCAGGUGUGGCGGUGAAAUGCGUAGAGAUCUGGAGGAAUACCGGUGGCGAAGGCGGCCCCCUGGACAAAGACUGACGCUCAGGUGCGAAAGCGUGGGGAGCAAACAGGAUUAGAUACCCGAGUAGUC